rnacentral:rRNA from 1 species
CGUGCAGGCGGCCUCGCAAGUGGGAUGUGAAAUGCCCUGGCUCAACCAGGGAACUGCAUCCCAAACUACGGGGCUUGAGUACAGGAGAGGAUGGGGGAAUUCCCGGUGUAGCGGUGAAAUGCAUUGAUAUCGGGAGGAACACCAGUGGCGAAGGCGCCCAUCUGGCCUGAUACUGACGCUCAGGCGCGAAAGCUAGGGGAGCAAACA